GUGCUCGCUUUGGCAGCAUACAUACAAAAAUCGGAACCCUAAGGAGAAGAUCAACAUGGACCCUAUACAAGGAAUGAUAUGCAAAUGUGUGAAGCAUUCCAUAUUUUU